rnacentral:rRNA from 1 species
CCUACGGGGGGCAGCAGUCGAGAAUCAUUCACAAUGGGGGAAACCCUGAUGGUGCGACGCCGCGUGGGGGAAUGAAGGUCUUCGGAUUGUAAACCCCUGUCAUGUGGGAGCAAAUUAAAAAGAUAGUACCACAAGAGGAAGAGACGGCUAACUCUGUGCCAGCAGCCGCGGUAAUACAGAGGUCUCAAGCGUUGUUCGGAAUCACUGUGCGUAAAGCGUGCGUAGGCUGUUUCGUAAGUCGUGUGUGAAAGGCGCGGGCUCAACCCGCGGACGGCACAUGAUACUGCGAGACUAGAGUAAGGGAGGGGGAACCGGAAUUCUCGGUGUAGCAGUGAAAUGCGUAGAUAUCGAGAGGAACACUCGUGGCGAAGGCGGGUUCCUGGACAUUAACUGACGCUGAGGCACGAAGGCCAGGGGAGCGAAAGGGAUUAGAUACCCCAGUAGUC